GCUGCAGUAGCUCAGCUGGUAGAGCACGUGCAUGGUAAGCACGAGGUCCUCGGUUCAAUCCCGAGCUGCAGCU
rnacentral:tRNA from 1 species